GGGUGUAGUUUAGUGGUAAAACAGUGGUCUCCAAAACCAUUGUCGAGGGUUCAAUUCCUUCCACCC
rnacentral:tRNA from 1 species